GACGAACGCUGGCGGCGUGCCUAAUACAUGCAAGUCGAACGCAGUGGGGACGGGUGAGUAACACGUGGGUAACCUCCCAUCAGAGGGGAUAACCCUUGGAAACAGGUGCUACACCGUCACUGAUGGAUGAACCCGCGGUGCAUUCGCUAGUUGGUGAGGUAACGGCUCACCAAGGCCACGAUGCAGAGCCGGCCUGAGUGGGUGAUCGGCGACACGGCGACUGAGACACGGCCCAGACUCCUACGGGAGGCAGCAGUAGGGAAUCUUCGGCAAUGGACGAAAGUCUGACCGAGCGACGCCGCGUGAGUGAGGGGGGUUUUCGGAUCGUAGGACUCUGUUGUUAGGGAAGCGGUAUCUCGCCAGAAAGCCACGGCUAACUACGUGCCAGCAGCCGCGGUAAUAC
rnacentral:rRNA from 1 species